UACGUAGGGUGCGAGCGUUGUCCGGAAUUAUUGGGCGUAAAGAGCUUGUAGGCGGUUUGUCGCGUCUGCCGUGAAAGCCCAGGGCUUAACCCUGGGUCUGCGGUGGGUACGGGCAGACUAGAGUGUGGUAGGGGAGACUGGAAUUCCUGGUGUAGCGGUGAAAUGCGCAGAUAUCAGGAGGAACACCGGUGGCGAAGGCGGGUCUCUGGGCAACAACUGACGCUGAGGAGCGAAAGCGUGGGGAGCGAACAGG
rnacentral:rRNA from 1 species